rnacentral:rRNA from 1 species
CGUAGGGUGCAGGCGUUAAUCGGAAUUACUGGGCGUAAAGCGUGCGCAGGCGGUCUUUUAAGUCAGAUGUGAAAUCCCCGGGCUUAACCUGGGAACUGCGUUUGAAACUGGAAGGCUAGAGUGUGGCAGAGGGGGUGGAAUUCCACGUGUAGCAGUGAAAUGCGUAGAGAUGUGGAGGAACACCGAUGGCGAAGGCAGCCCCCUGGGCUAACACUGACGCUCAUGCACGAAAGCGUGGGGAGCAAACAGGAUUAGAUACCCUGGUAGUCCACGCCCUAAACUAUGUCAACUGGUUGUCGGGGAAGCAAUUCCUUGGUAACGAAGCUAACGCGUGAAGUUGACCGCCUGGGGAGUACGGCCGCAAGGUUA